GACGAACGCUGGCGGCAGGCCUAACACAUGCAAGUCGAGCGCCCAGCAAUGGGAGCGGCGGACGGGUGAGUAACGCGUGGGAAUUUUUCCUGGAGUACGGAACAACCGAGGGAAACUUCGGCUAAUACCGUAUGAUAUCGAGAGAUCAAAGAUUUAUCGCUCUGGGGUGAGCCCGCGUCAGAUUAGGUAGUUGGUGGGGUAACGGCCUACCAAGCCUGCGAUCUGUAGCUGGCUGAGAGGACGAUCAGCCACACUGGGACUGAGACACGGCCCAGACUCCUACGGGAGGCAGCAGGUGGGGAAUCUUGCGCAAUGGGCGAAAGCCUGACGCAGCGACGCCGCGUGAGGGAUGACGGCCUCG
rnacentral:rRNA from 1 species